rnacentral:rRNA from 1 species
AUUGAACGCUGGCGGCAUGCCUUACACUUGCAAGUCGAACGGCAGCACGGACUUCGGUCUGGUGGCGAGUGGCGAACGGGUGAGUAAUAUAUCGGAACAUACCUUGUAGUGGGGGAUAACUAUCCGAAAGGAUAGCUAAUACCGCAUACGAUCUAAGGAUGAAAGCGGGGGAUCUUCGGACCUCGUGCUAUAAGAGUGGCCGAUAUCUGAUUAGCUAGUUGGUGCGGUAAAGGCUCACCAAGGCGACGAUCAGUAGCUGGUCUGAGAGGACGACCCGCCCCCUUGGAACUGCGACACGGUCCAGACUCCUACGGGAGGCAGCAGUGGGGACGUUUGGACAAGGGGGGCGACCCUGAUCCCGCAAUGGCGCGGGAGUGAAGAAGGCCUUCUGAUUGUACACCUCUUUUGUCAGUGAAGAAACGGUUGUCGCUAAUCUCCAUGGCUAAUGACGGUACCUGAAGAAUAAGCACCGGCUAACUACGUGCCAGCCGCCGCAGUAACAC